AUAAUGGGUCAGCGACUUAUAUUCUGUAGCAAGGUUAACCGAAUAGGGGAGCCGAAGGGAAACCGAGUCUUAACUGGGCGUUAAGUUGCAGGGUAUAGACCCGAAACCCGGUGAUCUAGCCAUGGGCAGGUUGAAGGUUGGGUAACACUAACUGGAGGACCGAACCGACUAAUGUUGAAAAAUUAGCGGAUGACUUGUGGCUGGGGGUGAAAGGCCAAUCAAACCGGGAGAUAGCUGGUUCUCCCCGAAAGCUAUUUAGGUAGCGCCUCGUGAAUUCAUCUCCGGGGGUAGAGCACUGUUUCGGCAAGGGGGUCAUCCCGACUUACCAACCCGAUGCAAACUGCGAAUACCGGAGAAUGUUAUCACGGGAGACACACGGCGGGUGCUAACGUCCGUCGUGAAGAGGGAAACAACCCAGACCGCCAGCUAAGGUCCCAAAGUCAUGGUUAAGUGGGAAACGAUGUGGGAAGGCCCAGACAGCCAGGAUGUUGGCUUAGAAGCAGCCAUCAUUUAAAGAAAGCGUAAUAGCUCACUGGUCGAGUCGGCCUGCGCGGAAGAUGUAACGGGGCUAAACCAUGCACCGAAGCUGCGGCAGCGACGCUUAUGCGUUGUUGGGUAGGGGAGCGUUCUGUAAGCCUGUGAAGGUGUGCUGUGAGG
rnacentral:rRNA from 1 species